GGAUUAGGCAUGCAAGUCGAAUGGGUUCAGACCCAUGGCAGACGAGGUAGGAACACGUAGGUACGUACCCCAAAGUCAGGGAUAAUCCGUCGAAAGGCGGGAUAAUACUUGAUAGUCUCUUCGGAGUAAAGAUUCAUCGCUUUGGGAACGGCCUGCGGGCUAUCAGCUUGUUGGUAAGGUAACGGCUUACCAAGGCUACGACGGCUAGGGGAGGUGAGAGCCUGACCCCCACCGAUGGAACUGCGACACGGUCCAUACUCCUACGGGAGGCUGCAGUCGAGAAUCUUCCGCAAUGGACGAAAGUCUGACGGAGCGACGCCGCGUGGUGGAUGAAGUCCUUAGGGACGUAAACACCUUUUAUGGAGGAGAAAGUUUAUUGAUGUUACUCCAUGAAUAAGGGGCUCCUAACUCUGUGCCAGCAGCCGCGGUAAUA
rnacentral:rRNA from 1 species